rnacentral:rRNA from 1 species
AUGAGCUGCGGCUCUGGCGGCGCCGCGGGGCCGGGGGACGGCGGGCGGGCCGAGUGGCAGCGCAUCUACGACCGGGUCGAGGCACUCGCCGCCGGCCGCGCGCGGCUGGAGGCGCGCAACAGGACCCAGCACGAGUUCUGGGACGCCCGCGACAAGAUCAACCACUCCCGACUCCACCAGGCGGAGCUGAGCAGGAGCAGGUGGGAGGCUGCCUGCAGGGAGCUGCUCCCUGGAGAUAAUCCCAAGCUCGCCGAACUGCUAGAGAGUGAUUUGGAGGAUUCAAGAACUUGUGAAGCUCUUUUGGACACUGAAAACUCAGAACUGCUGGCACAACUGAAGGAAGAUGGAACUUGUGUAGAGCUUAAUGAAAACACUGCAGAUCAUGACCACAAUUCCGGAGAUUUAAUAUCAGAUCUAAGAAAGUUAAAGCGAACCUAUGAGACCAUUCUUGAGGGUGAGCUAAAUGAAAUGCACUCCUCGGAUAAGGAGAAUGACAUCCAGAAGCUCAAAGUUGGGGAAUCUAAGACUCUUAAACGCAAGUUGGCCUCCUUAUCAACUGUAAGCAUUUCAUUUUGA